UUGAAAAGACCACACAGCCGAACAGUGAGAAAAUGCAGAAAGAAACUGAAGUCCAGAAACUUAUGGAAGAAAAUGUGAGGUUGACCGCUCUACUUGACAAAAAAGAGGCCCAGCUCUUGGCCAUGAACGAACAAUGCAAGGUUGAUGUGGCAGGAAGUGAAUGCAAUGCAGGCAAAUAUGGGGCUUGAAUUUCAGAGAAACAAGGAGAGGUUUGUUUUUCUGAAGUGGGGUUCCAAUGUUUUUCACAAUAUGCUCAUUGUUCCUCCUGGUUCUGGUAUUGUCCACCAGGUUUGGCAUUUAGCAAGUGACUCUGGUAAUUUUCAAGUUAAUCUUGAAUACCUUGGAUGGGUUAUUUUCUACACAAAUGGCAUUCUAUACCCUGAUAGCGU